CCGACAGGAAGUCAUCUAAAGGAAGACAUGAGCCACUGGCAGCUUCAUGCUCACUACUAUCCUCCUCUACUGCGAUCCGCAACCAUCCGCAAGUUCAUGGUUGGAUAUGAGAUGCUAGCUAAUGAACAGAGGGAUCUUACACCUGAACAGGCUGCAGAGCAGUUAAGGAAGCUCGGAGAGGAACAUUAUAAGAUG